CGCGAGAGUGGCCGGCCGGCCAGGCGGGCGGGGAGAGAGGUUGCGGAAUGCGUCGGUCCGCGGGCGAUUCGAGGCCAAAAAGGCCUUAAGCCGCCAUUGGAGACUGUGAGGUCACCCACCGGCGGCGCGGGGAAUGCCGUUGAGGUGAAGUGUGGAGAAGAAGAAAAAUCAAACAAGAAGAGAUAUUGAGAACAGCUCUCAAUAAAAUGGGAAUCAGUGGACAUCCAUCGUAACAGAUAAUGGAUAGAGUGAAGAACAGGCACUACCAGGUAUGCUGGUCCAUCAGUUGCUGGAAUGCUUCUAUAAUUGCGAACUUAUUUGACAGAGAUCCCAGAGGCACUGAUGCUGCUGGAGUUCCAAAAUUUCCAGCUGCUAAGGUUGUCCAGUCGAGUUGGAUAAUUUCACACGAUUGAACUUAUCCAUUUCAGAUUCCCCAAAGGUGAAAACACCUGACAUUGACACUACUUGACAAUAAUAAUGUUCCAUUUGGAAAAAUAAUUACCAGGUACUCCUUUCUCUGCUGUUGUCUUUUCUCAAGGAUAAGAAUGUAGUCGUUCUCGUUCAAAAGGGAAUAAUUACCAAGUAAAUGAAAGAUAGGAAUAUCCUUUUUUUUUUGUAUCCACUUGCUGCAGGCUGCUGCACACUCAGAAAAUGCCAAAACCCCUGCAAACAUUAGCACACCAUGAAUGAUCA